rnacentral:rRNA from 1 species
CCCUUAGAUGUUCUGGGCCGCACGCGCGCUACACUGACGAAUGCAAUGAGCUUAUAACCUUGGCCGAAAGGUCUGGGUAAUCUCCAAAUUUCGUCGUGAUGGGGAUAGAUUAUUGCAAUUAUUAAUCUUCAACGAGGAAUGCCUAGUAAGCGCAAGUCAUCAGCUUGCGUUGAUUACGUCCCUGCCCUUUGUACACACCGCCCGUCGCUCCUACCGAUUGAAUGGUCCGGUGAAGCGUUCGGACCGUGGCCUUUGGACGGUUCGCCGUCUGUUGGCUGCGGGAAGUUCGUUAAACCUUAUCAUUUAGAGGAAGGAGAANUCGUAACA